AGACACUCACACAACUGAUAUCCGCAGUUAAAUGCUUCGAAGCCAACGUGUGACCAUGAACCUAUUCGUUCUCGUGGCUCUUACUAUUUGCUUGGUUUCAGCGGAUCGUCCCAAUGCCUGCUACAUGGCUCCUGCUAAAGGCCCGUGCAAGGCAAAAAUCACGAGGUUCUACUUCAAUCCAAGAUCUCUGGAUUGCCUGAAAUUUAUCUACGGAGGAUGUGGGGGAAACGGCAAUAAUUUUGCCACAUGUCAAGCAUGCAUGAAAACGUGUAAAUAAUAUUACGCACAGCACGGCAGCCUGAGCUAUCGCAUAGCAAGGUGUCACAUCCUUGAGAAGCAGGAGCCGUACGAGGAGGACCUCGGUCGCUGCAUCAUUCAUCUGCACAUUGACAUCACUAGAGCUAUUAUCAUUAAAUAUUGCUGCCAUUCUACUACAUGCUUUCAUUUUAAUGCGUUAGCAUUGGGAGAGUCAAAAUAGAAAAAGCUGUGUGUGUGGUGUGUGUCUGCGUAUGAGAUGAUGAAGCCUCACCGAGACAGAAGUAUAAGUGGACAUGUAAAGGGCAUAUAAGAGGGUAAACGUAAAUGGAAGUAGUUGAAGGCAAUUAAGAGUAAGAGCAAUUAAAAGUAAUUAAUGGUAAUUAAGGGCAUUUAAAGCAACAAACGUUGAGUUUCAAGGUAACGAAUUUAAGAUAUAUGCAAUUAAGAGAAAGAUUAAGUGAAAUUAAAGAUUACCGAAGGUAACCGCGAGUUACAGGAGGUAAUUAAGUAUAAUUAAAGGUAAUUAACGUCAAUUCAAGAGAAAGUGACAGUAAUUAAAGGGUAAUUCAAACUAAUUGAGGCUAAUUAAAUGGUCAAUGGUCAGAAGUCAAGUAUCGACUGGAGGUUGACAACCAGAAGUCAGGGGAGACCGGAAAUCUAGAUCCGGAAGAGGCGCUUCAUGCUUACGCAUUUCUCUCGCAUUUUCCGCUAAAUCACCACUAAAUUUUUAUUUCUACUACUCAAUCUCAAAGCCAUAGCCCUAGAAAGGAAAGCUUGUAGCAGACUCCUCUAAGCACUAGUUACAUCGCGGUCACCCGAGAAAGAAGAAGCGAUCUAUCAAAAAAUCCAGACUGAUCUUGGUAUAGCAAGCAUGUGGUCAGCCUGCUGCACGCUCCCUAUUUGUUCCUCGCUAGUAUGGGGUAUAUGCUGUACGAUCCCGUUAUGUUGGGUCUGACUUUUUCGGGCACAGUGCCUAUCCAGGACUCGGGGGUGGGUAGGAAGUUGGGUGUUAUUCUUAGAUCUGUAAUUCGUGGUGGAGGUGCAACUGAUACGUUCGUGUGCUAUCUGGCAAGCGACUCGCAGUUAAAGCCCAUAUAUUAGUCUAACAUGCGUACCUUGUGAUUUAUAGUAACAUCGCUACUUGUUUUUACAUCGACAACAACUUUAUUUCAGGACAUUCAAUGGGGAAUUUCAUCGCCAGGGGCGACACUCUACCCAUUGCUGGUGAUGACGUGAGGGACGAAAUAAUGUUAUUCGCAUAGUUUACUAUUGUAGUGAAAUAGUAUCUACAUUAUACAUUCGUGCAAAUUGCCGCCAAAUACCGUAAAUAAUGCACCGGCCUCGGUGGCUCAGUCGGUAGCGUGUUCGCCUUCUGGUCCCAAGAUCGCGGGUUCGAACCCGGCCAAGGACGCCAGCAACUUGGAGGCAGCGUACAAGUUGCUUAAACACGCCGUCUUCCACGAGGCACGGCGGUUAAAUACGGGGUGCGAUGUGGGGAGUUUUCAUCGCACGUUAAAGAACCCGCAGGUGGACAAAAGACACUGCUCACACAGACCGACUGCUCUGGCAUGGCUCAUGAUCUCAGUUGUCUCGCGACGUAAACACCCAUAAACCCCCAAUUAUUAUUGUUGUUGUAAAUAAUACGUGGCAGAGACAACAUGACGUUGUGUCGUUUUGUUACAGCCUACCUUACCUACUUGACUUUGCGACACGCCUUAUCAAUUUCUCCGGCGUAGACUAGACCACUUGUAGCAUUGCUUCGUUUGCUAUCCUGUUCAGGUGUGUGAUAGGUGUGAAGGCUUUGUUAUAUUUGUGUACGCUUGGUUUUGUCAUCAAUGCUCUAUAUCUGCAAUCCAUCUGUUGUCAUAGCGACUGAUACGAUAUUGUGUAUCUGCUGCUUUGAAGCCAGUUCUAGCUCUUAUUGUCGAAACCAGACGUUCACUUGCGUCUCAUUGCUUGAAGUUGCAUACCGUCAGAUUACUGCACCCAGCUGUAAUGUCCGCCGUACGUUCCACCCCUCCACCGUCUUUGGUAUUGGAGGAGAUUUGUCAAGAUUGCGGAGGUUCCUUCAUCGACCUCUGGAGGUCCAUCACCGCAGAAGACUUCAUCUGCAGGAGCUGCUUGCUCACUAACGAACAACGUCCUCCUGGAGACCUCUUGCUGUGCCCUGGUUCAAAAUUUGGUUGUAAAUAUCAGACUGGUAUCGCUCGCAACUGCGUGGACCACCUCCGGACCUGCCCUAGACGCCCCACGCAAUGCCCCAACGAGUGUUUUUCCAUUAUCCCUAACACCGACUUGCCAAGACACUUGACGGAGGAAUGUCCCAGACGUACUAAGGAAUGCCGUUUCUGCCACGGAAACUAUUUCGUCUGCGAGAUCGGGAAUCACUUCAGGGACUGUCAGGAUUACCCUGUCACGUGUCAGUACUGCAGCCAAGAGAACAUCAGACGAGGCAGCUUAGAGGAACAUGGCGCCGGUUGCCGCAAAACACCGAAGCUUUGCAAGAUGGCCUCUUUGGGAUGUACAUUCAAGGCAGGCGAUGACGAAAUGGAACGUCAUAUGACGCUCGAGAAACAUACGUUUUGUAUGCAUGAGAUGAAGGUGCAAGUGAACAGCCUGGAAGUGGAAAUCCGCCAGGUUCGUGAAGAGUGCAAUCGUGAGAAACAAGAACGACAAAACCAAGAGGAAGUACACCAGAAAGAGCUCAGAAUUCAAGACGAGGAAGUGAAGAGGCUUCGGAACGAGGUUGAAGCACUGCUGCGGCAAGUCGGACAACCGUUUGAUAAUCCGUAAGAUGAACUUCUCUUAGUGACCGACAGAUUAGCGAUGCAGCCCAAACUACACGCUGUUUGUUUUUCAAUGGUUUGUUCUUUUCUAUAACUAUACGAAUAAGGAACUGACAGUUAGGUUCUUAGGUUGUGUUUUAGCGUAACAUAUCCAUGUGCUUCAAGGCAGAAUAUAUUUCAUUUGGUUUCAAAAACGUUGCUCGCGUGUAUUCGAAUACCAAGCAAAAUGACCUGUGUGGAUUUGCUUCAAGUGUUUUCCGCAAAAGCCCUUUAUAUUAUGGUAUCAUAUUAUUCCGUGAUGCUCUCUUUGUAUAAUUGUAUUCCCAAAACUCAGAUAAUGCUUUUCCCAAUGUAUACCCACUGGCUUGCGUUCUAUUCCUAUCUUCGCAUGUUAUAGGGCCUGUCAUACACGUUUGAGACAAUAUUCUCUUCCUUGUCGCUUUCGAACACUAUACUGUGGACGUUUGCCGAAUAAUACGUGGUAUGUUUCACACAGGGGAAGGCAGUAUGUUUUUUUUUUUUUCAAAUACUUUUUAGGUGUGUGUAUUUGUGAUUUGUAUUAUAACAUGUUAUGAUGUAGAAUACGAAAUAAAUUGUGGAAACAUAAUA